rnacentral:sRNA from 1 species
GCCGGGUGUGGUGGUGUGCACCUGUAAUCCCAGCUACUCAGGAGGCUGAGGCAGGAGAAUCACUUGAACCUGGGAGGCAGAGGUUGCAGUGAGCUGAGAUCACACCAUUGCCCUCCAGCCUGGGUGACAAAGUGAGAUUCUGUCUCAA